rnacentral:rRNA from 1 species
GGAAUAUUGGUCAAUGGACGCAAGUCUGAACCAGCCAUGCCGCGUGCAGGAAUAAGGUCCUCUGGAUUGUAAACUGCUUUUAUACAGGAAUAAACCUCUCUACGUGUAGAGAGCUGAAGGUACUGUAGGAAUAAGCACCGGCUAACUCCGUGCCAGCAGCCGCGGUAAUACGGAGGGUGCAAGCGUUAUCCGGAAUUAUUGGGUUUAAAGGGUCCGCAGGCGGUCCCAUAAGUCAGAGGUGAAAGCCCACAGCUUAACUGUGGAAUUGCCUUUGAAACUGUGGGACUUGAAUUAAGUAGGCGUUGGCGGAAUAUGACAUGUAGCGGUGAAAUGCAUAGAUAUGUCAUGGAACACCGAAAGCGAAGGCAGCUAACGAUGCUUAUAUUGACGCUCAGGGACGAAAGCGUGGGUAGCGAACAG